CUAUUAUACACCACAGGAAAGAAUUAAAUAUCAAUGAAUAAAUAAAGUCAGCGCUGACUUCUUUUAGGAUUUUAUAUCUCUGUUUUUUUAAUAUAACCUUAGGAUUUUAAAAUGAGAGAGGAGGAGUAUGAUUUCUACGUCACUAUACGUCGCUUGUUCCUCUUGGCAGUCAUUCAGUAUUCGUAUUACCAAAUAUUGCGGUUUCAAGGCCUGACACACGAACAGGUUCUUUGGAUUGCCCAGGUUGAAACUUUGACUUUGUUUGUGCUUUGCUGUAUUCAUUCUUUUUUCCUCUGACAGACGCUAAUGACACUUAUUACAAAUUAGAUGACGUAUUAGUACUUAGAAGACGAUGUUGAGAAUCUCUUUGCAAAGAAAAAAGAAAUGUCGACUGAAAAUGUUUAUUUUUACAAUUUAUUCUUCGUCAAUUUCCUUAUACAAAGAUUUUUUUUACCUUUUAAAUUCUUGUAGAAUUCAAUGGUUAUCUGAAAUUAGUCUUUUAAAUAUUUCUUCUGUACUAAAAUGUAUUUUUGCAUUUUAGCUUUUUUUUACAAAUUGCACACAUGUACUUAGUUAAUGUUGAAUAAAAGAAAUG